UUUCAUGGUCUUUUCCUUGUGUAGAAGCAACAAAUCCCUCUCAAUGUGAUGCCUUGCAACACGUCAAAGUUUCACCUUGAAGUUCCUUGCCAUGCCAAUUCGCAUAUUAACAACGAUUUUCUCAUCUAACUGGCCUAAGAAUUUGGGACCUUAGUAGUUGAUUUAUGCCGUCAUCCGUGAUAUGACUCCUAGUGAUCUUGUUGCAUUCUUGAGAAGCAUCUGGUAUGGAGUGAUGAGCUCACUCAAGCAUUUGGUUUCUCAUUUGGUAUGGAGUGAUGAGCUCACUCCAGCUUUUGGUAUGGAGUGAUGGUGCUUGCUCUAGAUCAUUGCAUGAUUAUGCUCGAUCCAGGUGGUGCGCGCUCUAGAUCAUUGCAUGAUUGAGCUCUUUGAUCGAGGAUUAGAUGGGUGAGAACAAAAUAAGUUUAUUAUUAGCUAGCUAAUGCCAAUUCCAAAAAGCAGCUAGAGGCAGACUCUGCCAAUUUAUAGGCGAUUAUCAUCUGGAAAGAUAAUAUCCAUUACGCAAUGAUCUCAAAUCUCUAUUUUUCCUUGCAUAUAAUUCUAUCUUAGGUCCUCCUUAUUUAAAAUGAAAAUUGAGUAUAUAGGGGAUUUGUAAAUGCAAUGAGUUUCAUCUUGUAGAAAGAAUACAGAAGUGUUGUUUUAUUACACUUUACCAAAAUCAAAUUAAAC
rnacentral:lncRNA from 1 species